AGGAGAUGUUGCAGCAAAGCUCUUUUAGUAUAGAAGGUGUUUGGGAAAAAGCCAAGCCUAAAGUAGUAGUAGAAGUAGAAGAACUGUUAAUCCGUCUAUUGAAGUACCAAUUCCUCCACUUUAUCCAGAACACUACAUACAAAUAUUUCUCUCAUGCUUCCCUUUUGUCUUCAUUGAAUAUCAGGCACGAAUACUACCUAGAGACUCAUUGAAAGUUACUAGAGGGAUAUUAUUGAGGAAAGUUCCAGUAUGGGAAAACAGAGGUUUUUGGAAUUGGAGUUGGAGAAUAAAUGUGCAGCCGUAAUUUACACUCUUUGCUUGAAAGAUUAGGGACACAUAUAAUGGGAGUGCUCAGAAGCGCCUGAAGUCUAGAGACCAACCACAAUGUUUCCAUAGGUAUGGUGUUAUUUUGUCUUUAAAACAAAAUGAGCAUGUCAUGGAGGUGGAGGUCAUGUUGAAUAUAAGCCUAGCUGUUAUGGUACAAUCAGAACCAUAGGUGGGUGAGCGAAGCUCUUUGAAGACAGCAGUGAAUUUGAUGCAAACAACCUUUAAGAGUGGCUAUUAAAGAGUGUAGAUGGAGACCUCCUGUAGGUAUGUAUUAUAAGGUAAAUUUGGCUAUCAAGUAAUUGCAGAACAAUACCUAUCAAAAAAAGGAAAUUGCAGAACAAAAUAUGGUAUGGUUUGGGAGUAGUUCAUGAUAGUGGAAGCCAAUGUAUAAGAGCUAUGUGUGCAAAAAAAAGAACCAGGGAAUCACCAAAUGCACAUACUUUGCAUUCAAACUUCUUACCGUAGACAGAUUGGGAAACGAUGGGUACAGUGAAGUCAACAUCCUCCGCAUUAACCUCAUUUCAGCAUCAUAAUGCGCACAUUUCUCCUUCAUUUCAGCAUCAUAACGCGCACAUUUCUCCUUCAUUUCUUCUACUUCAGCAGACAACUCGAUAACCUUUUGUUCAGUUGCAGUAGAUGUUGGAGGUGGCGUACUAUCAUCCAUUGACCUCGCACGAUUUCCAGAGGGGGUUGGACCAAAGCCUACCCCUCUAACACGACCACUUCUCUCUGCACCGAGGACCUGUGCAAAUGCAUCGUCGGGUUGCCAAAGUAUGCCUGCCUCAAUGUCAUUUCCCCGCAACUGUGACCCCUCUGUCAUAAGAUGUUUCAUCUUUGCCUAGUAAUCACAAAUAAACAAAAUAACAUAUUAGCAACAAG